rnacentral:rRNA from 1 species
UACGAAGGGGGCUAGCGUUGCUCGGAAUCACUGGGCGUAAAGCGCACGUAGGCGGCUUUCUAAGUCAGGGGUGAAAUCCUGGAGCUCAACUCCAGAACUGCCUUUGAUACUGGAGAGCUUGAGUCCGGGAGAGGUGAGUGGAACUCCGAGUGUAGAGGUGAAAUUCGUAGAUAUUCGGAAGAACACCCGUGGCUAAGGCGGCUCUCUAGUACGGUACUGACGCUGAGGUGCGAAAGCGUGGGGAGCAAACAGG